rnacentral:rRNA from 1 species
UAAAACGUAGGUGGCAAGCGUUAUCCGGAUUCACUGGGCGUAAAGCGCACGCAGGCGGCUCGGUAGGUAGGGCAUGAAAUCUCCUGGCAUAACUAGGAGACGCUGUCCUAAACCCCCGAGCUUGAGGAUGGGAGAGGGCAGUGGAAUUGCCGGUGUAGUGGUGAAAUGCGUAGAGAUCGGCAGGAACACCAGUGGCGUAAGCGACUGCCUGGCCCAUACCUGACGCUCAGGUGCGAAAGCUAGGGGAGCGAACGGGAUUAGAAACCCCGGUAGUCCUAGCCGUAAACGAUGUACACUAGGUGUCGGGGGUAUUGACCCCCUCGGUGCCGAAGCCAACGCGUUAAGUGUACCGCCUGGGGACUACGGCCGCAAGGUUA